GGGUCAGUAGGUUGGUCGUGCCACCGGUACGUACUGGUCUCGCUGAUUCCUCCUUCCUGAAGAACCGUAAUGCCAUUAAUUUGGUGUUGCGGGGAGACAGGACUGUUACUUUGAAAAAAUUAGAGUGUUUAAAGCAAGCUAACGCUUGAAUACAUUAGCAUGGAAUAAUGAAAUAGGACGAUCGAUCCUAUUUUGUUGGUUUCUAGGAUUGACGUAAUGAUUUAGGGAUAGUUGGG
rnacentral:rRNA from 1 species